AUGUAACUUUUUCUUUAGAUGUCCGUGGAUAUAUUAUUUGCCUGAUUCCGAGUCCGUGUGAGAAAGUUAUACCUGUUUUAAAAAAUGACACCCGAAUG
rnacentral:rRNA from 1 species